rnacentral:lncRNA from 1 species
GGGCGGGGCGGGGCGGCGCGCGCCGCACUCUCCUUUCCCUUUUUUCUGCAGGGUGUUGCUGAGUUUCUACACAAGCAUAAUUAACUUUUUACGGGACGAUGCGUUGAGGUAAUAAACUUUCCAAAGCAACGUCAGCCACAGAACGACCCCUCCAGGCGCGCGAAAGGAUCCGAGGAAGCCACAGCAGCGGGGCGGGGGUCUUCCGGUUCUCUGGGGCCUUCCUUCGCCUGAAGGCCCGCCUCCUGGGGCAGCUGGGUGUCUCCUGAAUUCCGUGGGCACGUGGCGUGGACAUGGUCGGCAAGAAUGAACAGUGGUCAGCCCCCAUACCAAGCGGAGGUUCCCCUCCACUUCUGCUUCCUAACUGGACUGGGGGCUCCUGGGCAGCAGCCCCAGACUUGUUUUUUCCAGGUGUCAGCGUGAACCGUGGGAAUGUGUUGGAAGAAGAAGUCGAGCACUUUAGAAAUACCUAACACUUGAGCUGGUUAGCAACUUGUUGCCUCUCAGCUCCCGAUUCACCGCGGUCCUCUGCGAAAAUGGGUCUGGGCCUCGCCUCUGCUAAGCUUUGCCAGGAGAGGGCGCGAGAGACGUCGCCGGAGAAAGGGCGUGUCCGGGCCUCGCUCUGCAGGCUGGGGCGCCGCCUCAGUUGCCCCUCUUCUUUUCCUGCGUCCAGCUCCUGUGCCGGCAGCUUCCCCAGCUCUCCCUCGGGCGACGUUAUAGCAGAAUGUCUCUGAUGAGACAUCUCCCCCUGAACACCUUUCCCCCGUAUGCUGCAAGGCAGAUUUCUGGCAAGUUCUGUAGUAUGAACUUCCAGGAAGUGGUGGUAAAACAGCAUCAGCCUUACAAUGAGAAAAGGAACGUCCUGCCAGCCCUACAAGGGAAGGCCUCUCCCUGCAGAAGCUGGAGGUGCUGUGGGUUGAGUUGCAGAAUGGGGCUCAGGGCCAGGGAGCCUGAUGCUAGAGAUGCUCCCACUGGUUGUCCUGCUGUGUGAGCACCUGCAACCCUCUGCCUGAUCUUGAUGCUCUUCCUGUGCUCGGGCCAAAGUGCCUAGGCUCAGCUGGGGCUCUCUCCUCCUCUCACACCCCACACUGGAUUCAUCAUCAAGUCCCUCCACUUCUAAAUACAGCCAGCUCUCCACCAUCACGCCCUGGUCCAAGGCUAGUUUCUCUCACCUGAAGCACAGCAGCCUCCCAACAGGGCUCCCUGCUUCUAUCCUGGCCUACUUGUUGUAGGUCAGCCUUUGUAAUCAGAAUAGUACCCAGAGGGAUCCACUGAAAACAAGUCAGAUCACAUUCCUCCCCCAUGAAAGCCAAAGUCCUUGCUGUUAUCCACAAGGUCCCACAUGAUCUGAUCUCAUUUC